rnacentral:rRNA from 1 species
GUGAGGAAUUUUCCGCAAUGGGCGAAAGCCUGACGGAGCAAUGCCGCGUGAGUGAUGAAGGCCCUAGGGUUGUAAAGCUCUUUCACCGGUGAAGAUAAUGACGGUAACCGGAGAAGAAGCCCCGGCUAACUUCGUGCCAGCAGCCGCGGUAAUACGAAGGGGGCUAGCGUUGUUCGGAUUUACUGGGCGUAAAGCGCACGUAGGCGGAUCGUUAAGUCGGGGGUGAAAUCCUGUAGCUCAACUCCAGAACUGCCUUCGAUACUGGCGAUCUUGAGUCCGGAAGAGGUGAGUGGAACUCCUAGUGUAGAGGUGGAAUUCGUAGAUAUUAGGAAGAACACCAGUGGCGAAGGCGGCUCACUGGUCCGGUACUGACGCUGAGGUGCGAAAGCGUGGGGAGCAAACAGGAUUAGAAACCCCGGUAGUCC